UACGUAGGGUCCGAGCGUUGUCCGGAAUUACUGGGCGUAAAGAGCUCGUAGGUGGUUUGUCGCGUUGUUCGUGAAAACUCACAGCUUAACUGUGGGCGUGCGGGCGAUACGGGCAGACUAGAGUACUGCAGGGGAGACUGGAAUUCCUGGUGUAGCGGUGGAAUGCGCAGAUAUCAGGAGGAACACCGGUGGCGAAGGCGGGUCUCUGGGCCGGCACUGACGCUGAGGAGCGAAAGCGUGGGGGAGCAAACAGG
rnacentral:rRNA from 1 species